rnacentral:rRNA from 1 species
CAGUGGGGAAUUUUCCGCAAUGGGGGCAACCCUGACGAAGCAACGCCGCGUGGGGGAGGAAGGUCUGUGGAUUGUAAACUCCUUUUCUCUAGGAAGAAGCUCAGCCGGUACUAGAGGAAUCAGCAUCGGCUAACUCCGUGCCAGCAGCCGCGGUAAGACGGAGGAUACAAGCGUUAUCCGGAAUUAUUGGGCGUAAAGCGUCCGUAGGCGGUUUUUCAAGUCUGCCGUUAAAGAUUACAGCUUAACCCCGGGUAGGCGGUGGAAACUUAAGAACUUGAGUAUGGUAGGGGUAGAGGGAAUUCCCAGUGUAGCGGUGAAAUGCGUAGAUAUUGGGAAGAACCCCAGUGGCGAAGGCGCUCUGAUGGGCCACAACUGACGUUUAGGGACGAAAGCUAGGGGAGCGAAAGGGAUUAGAUACCCCUGUAGUCCUAGUCUGUAAAUGAUGGAUACUAAAAGUUGGGCGUCAUACGACCAGUCC